UACGUAGGAUGCGAGCGUUGUCCGGAAUUAUUGGGCGUAAAGGGCUCGUAGGCGGUCUGUUGCGUCAGGAGUGAAAACUCGGGGCUUAACCCCGAGCCUGCUUCUGAUACGGGCAGACUAGAGGUAUGCAGGGGAGAACGGAAUUCCUGGUGUAGCGGUGAAAUGCGCAGAUAUCAGGAGGAACACCGGUGGCGAAGGCGGUUCUCUGGGCCUUACCUGACGCUGAGGAGCGAAAGCGUGGGGAGCGAACAGG
rnacentral:rRNA from 1 species